GAAGACUGGAAAAAACCUUUGCUGAAUACAUUAAUCACUAUGCCUUCUUAUUAAUGUGUCCCUUUUAGAUCCAUCCUAUCCCACAAAAGGAAAUAAGGAAGGAAAGUGAUCCUUCUCAUAGGUAUCACUGAGAAGCACCAGCAGGAAGAGGAGGCUGGAAGUGUGCAUGCACAUGUGUGCCUAACCCACAGGGCAGAUGGUCUGCACCAGAAAGAGCACAUCUGAGAGCUGCACCCCCUUCAAUGCCUAACAAAGAGCUGACUAAGGUAUUUGGCUCUGGCCACUUACCAAGAAAUUAUAUCAUCAUUAAAUCCUGUGGGCAAAAAAUAA